rnacentral:rRNA from 1 species
CCUAACACAUGCAAGUCGAACGGUAACAGGAAACAGCUUGCUGUUUCGCUGACGAGUGGCGGACGGGUGAGUAAUGUCUGGGAAACUGCCUGAUGGAGGGGGAUAACUACUGGAAACGGUAGCUAAUACCGCAUAACGUCGCAAGACCAAAGAGGGGGACCUUCGGGCCUCUUGCCAUCAGAUGUGCCCAGAUGGGAUUAGCUAGUAGGUGGGGUAACGGCUCACCUAGGCGACGAUCCCUAGCUGGUCUGAGAGGAUGACCAGCCACACUGGAACUGAGACACGGUCCAGACUCCUACGGGAGGCAGCAGUGGGGAAUAUUGCACAAUGGGCGCAAGCCUGAUGCAGCCAUGCCGCGUGUAUGAAGAAGGCCUUCGGGUUGUAAAGUACUUUCAGCGGGGAGGAAGGGAGUAAAGUUAAUACCUUUGCUCAUUGACGUUACCCGCAGAAGAAGCACCGGCUAACUCCGUGCCAGCAGCCGCGGUAAUACGGAGGGUGCAAGCGUUAAUCGGAAUUACUGGGCGUAAAGCGCACGCAGGCGGUUUGUUAAGUCAGAUGUGAAAUCCCCGGGCUCAACCUGGGAACUGCAUCUGAUACUGGCAAGCUUGAGUCUCGUAGAGGGGGGUAGAAUUCCAGGUGUAGCGGUGAAAUGCGUAGAGAUCUGGAGGAAUACCGGUGGCGAAGGCGGCCCCCUGGACGAAGACUGACGCUCAGUGCGAAAGC